UUCCCUUCACCAUGCACGUCGGAAAUUGAAGCUAAAAACACCACUGGAGCCAAGGUAAGGACUCGAUCCUUCACUCUCUCUCUCUUUCUUAUCUUUCCAUGACCUUAAGCACCACCGAAGGCUAUCGGUUUUGCCGAAAUCCACUAUAAAAGAAUCUCCUAUUUUUUCGACUUUGAUUUCUUCCUUCUCCGGCCACCGACGCUGCCGUCACCUGACACCGGACACUUGGUUGGGUUGUUCGGCCUCCCUACGAUGCUUCUCGAUGAAGUCACAAUCGUCAGUGAACGAUCAAAGGCCAAAAUCAAAAAAAAUGAAAAAAAG
rnacentral:lncRNA from 1 species